rnacentral:rRNA from 16 species
AGAGUUUGAUCCUGGCUCAGGAUGAACGCUGGCGGCGUGCCUAAUACAUGCAAGUCGAGCGAACGGACGAGAAGCUUGCUUCUCUGAUGUUAGCGGCGGACGGGUGAGUAACACGUGGAUAACCUACCUAUAAGACUGGGAUAACUUCGGGAAACCGGAGCUAAUACCGGAUAAUAUUUUGAACUGCAUGGUUCAAAAGUGAAAGACGGUCUUGCUGUCACUUAUAGAUGGAUCCGCGCUGCAUUAGCUAGUUGGUAAGGUAACGGCUUACCAAGGCAACGAUGCAUAGCCGACCUGAGAGGGUGAUCGGCCACACUGGAACUGAGACACGGUCCAGACUCCUACGGGAGGCAGCAGUAGGGAAUCUUCCGCAAUGGGCGAAAGCCUGACGGAGCAACGCCGCGUGAGUGAUGAAGGUCUUCGGAUCGUAAAACUCUGUUAUUAGGGAAGAACAUAUGUGUAAGUAACUGUGCACAUCUUGACGGUACCUAAUCAGAAAGCCACGGCUAACUACGUGCCAGCAGCCGCGGUAAUACGUAGGUGGCAAGCGUUAUCCGGAAUUAUUGGGCGUAAAGCGCGCGUAGGCGGUUUUUUAAGUCUGAUGUGAAAGCCCACGGCUCAACCGUGGAGGGUCAUUGGAAACUGGAAAACUUGAGUGCAGAAGAGGAAAGUGGAAUUCCAUGUGUAGCGGUGAAAUGCGCAGAGAUAUGGAGGAACACCAGUGGCGAAGGCGACUUUCUGGUCUGUAACUGACGCUGAUGUGCGAAAGCGUGGGGAUCAAACAGGAUUAGAUACCCUGGUAGUCCACGCCGUAAACGAUGAGUGCUAAGUGUUAGGGGGUUUCCGCCCCUUAGUGCUGCAGCUAACGCAUUAAGCACUCCGCCUGGGGAGUACGACCGCAAGGUUGAAACUCAAAGGAAUUGACGGGGACCCGCACAAGCGGUGGAGCAUGUGGUUUAAUUCGAAGCAACGCGAAGAACCUUACCAAAUCUUGACAUCCUUUGACAACUCUAGAGAUAGAGCCUUCCUCUUCGGGGGACAAAGUGACAGGUGGUGCAUGGUUGUCGUCAGCUCGUGUCGUGAGAUGUUGGGUUAAGUCCCGCAACGAGCGCAACCCUUAAGCUUAGUUGCCAUCAUUAAGUUGGGCACUCUAAGUUGACUGCCGGUGACAAACCGGAGGAAGGUGGGGAUGACGUCAAAUCAUCAUGCCCCUUAUGAUUUGGGCUACACACGUGCUACAAUGGACAAUACAAAGGGCAGCGAAACCGCGAGGUCAAGCAAAUCCCAUAAAGUUGUUCUCAGUUCGGAUUGUAGUCUGCAACUCGACUACAUGAAGCUGGAAUCGCUAGUAAUCGUAGAUCAGCAUGCUACGGUGAAUACGUUCCCGGGUCUUGUACACACCGCCCGUCACACCACGAGAGUUUGUAACACCCGAAGCCGGUGGAGUAACCUUUUAGGAGCUAGCCGUCGAAGGUGGGACAAAUGAUUGGGGUGAAGUCGUAACAAGGUAGCCGUAUCGGAAGGUGCGGCUGGAUCACCU